GACUACUCCGGGCCAGGCUGGAGGGGGCCUCUCCAGGACAGACCCUUCCCGUGGAACAGCAGAGCCCUUCUCUCAAAGUCUCACCAGUCAACGCCCCAGGGGAAGCUGUUCCAGUCAAGGCCUUUCUACCCUGAGAGCCUGCCCCCCAGGGUCCAUGGUGGGAGGGGAGCCUUGCAUGGAUCCUGGGAGGCAGAAGGGCUGCUUUGGAGGAAGGGGAGCUGGUCCUCUCCUUGCCUGCCCCCACCUCCCCGGGGAGCCCCCUUCCGGCCCCUGCCCUGGGCCUCCAGCGGAACCCAGGCCAUGACUCGGGGCAGGGCCGCUGGAGGGCCGCCCAGACCCUCUGCAGCCAUGGCUACCCAGAGCGGUCGCCCACUUCAAGCCCAGCUCGGAGGCCUCAGUCCUGGAGGGAGGGACCUGGACUGGAGGAAGAAGUGCCGACCGACGCAGAGACAGAACCAGAGUGCUCUUCGCCAGAGCAGCCGCACCCAAGGUCAAGAGUGGGAAUGGCCGCCAGCACCGGGGGUCUGGAGCCCCUUGGUCAGGGAAGAGGACACAGGCAGCCCCCGGUCCUGGACUCAUCCCUGGACGGGCCCAGGCAGCGCCCUCUAGAGUCCACCUGGGCUCUGGCGGACUGAAGCCCGGCCCUGAGAUGACCCUCAGGCCGGCGGGCUCCCAGUCCCUCGGCCAUUCUGCUCCUGAUGACCUGAUGUCCCUGGUCGUGCUCAGGGCUUUCCUGCCCUAGGCUGGGGUCUCUCCAUGCCCGUGGCUGCGAGGGCCCCCUCCCGCCACCCCCUGCCCAGAAGCCCAGGGCACCCAGGACAGGGCCGCUACCCUGACGCCCCAGGAGGGCCUCUGGGCCCGGGGGCUGAAGGGGAAUUGGUCCUGGCUGUUCCUGCCCAUGCCCUCAUCCCUCGACCGCCGCCGGGGCACACCGUCCCUGGGCAUGCAGGGACCGACUGCAGUUCUAAAUCGAAAGGGAAGGCAGCUUGUUUUUUUUUUUUUUUUUUUUAAAAAAAAAAAAAAAAAAACCUUUGCAACUGUUUCUUUAAGCAGCAAAUUAAUCCUGUUUUCUCAUGGGUUUGAUUUCAUGGCACCCCACCACGUCCGCCCGUCCCAUGCCACCACGCCCACCCCUCUGCGUGCCAGCCCUUCCAGGAGCCAAGAGUCAGGACCCACACCAAGAGUCACCCUGCACAGUAUCUGGGGUGCCCCCCAUGAUGUCGGACCCUCAGCUCCGUCCCUCACCAGCCACACCCCCGGAAGGCUGGGCACAGUGGCUGCAGGAAGGAGGUCGAUGUCUUCUCCAGCCCUUGGAGCCCCACGGGGUCUGUGACCUGGCCGCGCAGGGCAGUGUGAUUCUGGACACCGGCGCAGACCCUAAGCAGGCCUGGGCUUCCCGGUGGGGGCCUGCCUGGGCAUCUGGGGUGGUGGGGUCCCUGGGAUGACCAACGUCUGUGCCCCCUCAGUCCCUGCGCCCCCUCCCCAUGGGCCUCCGGACUCCACUGCCCAUAAAGCACACCACACAGGCCCCCCUCAUGCCACCUGCCAGGCUGUCGUUGGGCUUGGGGGGCGGUGUGAGGGGCAGAGCAAACCCUUCUGGAGUCCUCACUGUGGCCCUGCAAGUCACCACAAGUGGCCACAUCUCACAGCUGGGGCGGCAGGGGCUGGGGCAUCCCAGGGGGUCCCCGAGCCCUGUCAGCGGGGUUAAAGGCCCUUCCACUGUGGUGUGGUCCCCUGCCGUAUCAGGAGCCCUUCCUUUUCUGCAAGGCUUUUCUUCUUCUGAUUACAAAAUAGCCUCUGUGGUAGCGGAGAGUUAGUGAAAUAAAGAAAAGCAGAGAAGAAAAUAAUCUCCUGCA
ensembl:lncRNA